rnacentral:rRNA from 1 species
UGGGGAAUCUUAGACAAUGGGCGCAAGCCUGAUCUAGCCAUGCCGCGUGUGUGAUGAAGGCCUUAGGGUCGUAAAGCACUUUCGCCAGAGAUGAUAAUGACAGUAUCUGGUAAAGAAACCCCGGCUAACUCCGUGCCAGCAGCCGCGGUAAUACGGAGGGGGUUAGCGUUGUUCGGAAUUACUGGGCGUAAAGCGUACGUAGGCGGAUCAGAAAGUAGGGGGUGAAAUCCCAGGGCUCAACCCUGGAACUGCCUCCUAAACUCCUGGUCUUGAGUUCGAGAGAGGUGAGUGGAAUUCCAAGUGUAGAGGUGAAAUUCGUAGAUAUUUGGAGGAACACCAGUGGCGAAGGCGGCUCACUGGCUCGAUACUGACGCUGAGGUACGAAAGUGUGGGGAGCAAACAGGAUUAGAUACCCUGGUAGUCCACACCGUAAACGAUGAAUGCCAGUCGUCGGGCAGUAUACUGUUCGGUGACACACCUAACGGAUUAAGCAUUCCGCCUGGGGAGUACGGUCGCAAGAUUAAAA